UACGGAGGGAGCUAGCGUUGUUCGGAAUUACUGGGCGUAAAGCGCACGUAGGCGGUACAUCAAGUCAGGGGUGAAAGCCCGGAGCUCAACUCCGGAACUGCCCUUGAAACUAGUGUGCUAGAAUCUUGGAGAGGCGGGUGGAAUUCCGAGAGUAGAGGUGAAAUUCGUAGAUAUUCGGAAGAACACCAGUGGCGAAGGCGGCCCGCUGGACAAGUAUUGACGCUGAGGUGCGAAAGCGUGGGGAGCAAACAGG
rnacentral:rRNA from 1 species